AGUGAACGCUGGCGGUAGGCCUAACACAUGCAAGUCGAACGGCAGCACAGUAAGAGCUUGCUCUUACGGGUGGCGAGUGGCGGACGGGUGAGGAAUACAUCGGAAUCUACUUUUUCGUGGGGGAUAACGUAGGUAAACUUACGCUAAUACCGCAUACGACCUACGGGUGAAAGCAGGGGAUCUUCGGACCUUGCGCGAUUGAAUGAGCCGAUGUCGGAUUAGCUAGUUGGCGGGGUAAAGGCCCACCAAGGCGACGAUCCGUAGCUGGUCUGAGAGGAUGAUCAGCCACACUGGAACUGAGACACGGUCCAGACUCCUACGGGAGGCAGCAGUGGGGAAUAUUGGACAAUGGGCGCAAGCCUGAUCCAGCCAUACCGCGUGGGUGAAGAAGGCCUUCGGGUUGUAAAGCCCUUUUGUUGGGAAAGAAAAGCAGCAGGUUAAUACCCCGCUGUUCCGACGGUACCCAAAGAAUAAGCACCGGCUAACUUCGUG
rnacentral:rRNA from 1 species